rnacentral:lncRNA from 1 species
AAAAGUUUUAUUCUGUGGAAAAGUGCUACAGUCUGCAUUGUCAUUCUUCUUUUGAUUGUAUCAUAAUAUUUGUAUGUCUCUAUGUCUAAACCACUUCCUUUGGCUCCUUUGAUGCUGCCAAAACUUUAAAGGACCUUAAUGUUGUUUAAUCCAAAGAAUCUUCCUUUUACCUAAGCCAUUAAGAUGACAUCCUUCAAAAGAAUUCAAAUAAAUCAAAGAUUAGUUGUUUCAGAAUGCAUGUUCUCUUUCUUUUCUGAAUAGGUAGAACAACUAUUUACACAACUUAAAAUCCUUCCCAUUGCCUUUUACAGGAGCACAUACAUUCGCCUAUGACAUGCUACUUAUCAGAAGGUCUUUAAAAUCUUCAGCCUCACUGUUUUCUAGCAACACCAUGAAUAACUACUGCAGUAAUUGUUGCACUGUGAUGAUGGCCAUAAUAGGGUCUUCCAUUUUGAGUCUGCUGUAACUCAACAUAAACAGAAUCAAGCAAGUGGUAGAGGAAGUUAUUUUCUAUAACAUCACUAGUGUGACGUCAUCACACCCUGUUGUGAGGUGACUGUGUCAUGGCCCGGGUCAAGAGACAAGAGUAGCCAUUUUGUGGGCAUUCUAGUAUCUGACAGUAACCCAGAACUACCUCCACAAUUUUUUCCAAUAUCCCACAGUAACACAAAUUACCUCCAUGAGUAAUAUAGACAUAUCUAUCAUUAAACAAACAAACAAACAAAACAUGUAUAUUUUUAGUUCUGCUCCAUUGUAUUAUCACCAUUUUGUCUCAUAAAGCACCAGAAUAAGCAAUAAAACAUGUCUGUGAAGAGAAUAACAACAACAACAACAAAAAAGCAUGCCUCUUACUUGUAUGUGGACCACAAACACUAUGAACGUGGCACUGUUUCUGCUUCUCAACAGGAGGGUUUCUUACUAGCAAGAACAUGUAAGGUUAUGUAGAAGAGAGAAAAGGAGAUGAAGAUUUUAAGCUGAAGUUAAAAGCUUGUUGACCAGAGAAAAUGGAGGAAUCACUAAAAGAUGAAAUAAUGAUUAGAUUAAGAAGAAAGUAACUUCAGUUUUCAUGAUGGUAGGACUGAGAGGAGUUGAGAAUACAAAGGAGAAAUUCCAUUUUUAUGUCAAAGAGCAGGUCUGUACAAGCCUAAACUGAAAAGAAGAGGAAUCUGCUGCCAUGGUGGGUGACAGGUGAAGACAUUGCACCACAAGCAGAUGUCCACAGGAGGAGAGCAGAGGCAAAGCACAGUGUUCCACACAUUUAAUAAACACUUAUGUUAUUCCUAGGAGUCUCUUAGU